rnacentral:rRNA from 1 species
GUGGGGAAUUUUGCGCAAUGGGGGAAACCCUGACGCAGCAACGCCGCGUGCGGGACGAAGGCCUUCGGGUUGUAAACCGCUUUCAGCAGGGAAGAUUCAGACGGUACCUGCAGAAGAAGCUCCGGCUAACUACGUGCCAGCAGCCGCGGUAAUACGUAGGGGGCGAGCGUUAUCCGGAUUCAUUGGGCGUAAAGCGCGCGUAGGCGGCCGCCUAAGCGGAACCUCUAAUCCCGGGGCUCAACCUCGGGCCGGGUUCCGGACUGGGCGGCUCGAGUGCGGUAGAGGCAGGCGGAAUUCCCGGUGUAGCGGUGGAAUGCGCAGAUAUCGGGAAGAACACCGAUGGCGAAGGCAGCCUGCUGGGCCGCCACUGACGCUGAGGCGCGAAAGCUGGGGGAGCGAACAGGAUUAGAAACCCCAGUAGUCC